rnacentral:rRNA from 1 species
GAUGAACGCUGGCGGCGUGCCUAACACAUGCAAGUCGAACGGAGAUUACGGACGGAAGUUUUCGGAUGGAAGCCUGUAAUUCUUAGUGGCGGACGGGUGAGUAACGCGUGGGCAACCUGCCCUAUACAGGGGGAUAGCAGCUGGAAACGGCUGGUAAGACCGCAUAAGUCGGUUAAAUCGCAUGAUUUGAUCGGGAAAUGAGCAAUCAGGUAUAGGAUGGGCCCGCGUCCGAUUAGCCAGUUGGCAGGGUAAAAGCCUACCAAAGCGACGAUCGGUAGCCGGACUGAGAGGUCGGACGGCCACAUUGGGACUGAGACACGGCCCAAACUCCUACGGGAGGCAGCAGUGAGGGAUAUUGCACAAUGGAGGAAACUCUGAUGCAGCGACGCCGCGUGAGUGAAGAAGUAUUUCGGUAUGUAAAGCUCUAUCAGCAGGGAAGAUGAUGACGGUACCUGACGAAGAAGCCCCGGCUAACUACGUG